GUGAAAACUUCUUUGGACCUCAUAAACAACCACAGAACCACAAGUUGGGUAGCCUGGCAGUGUCAGAAGUGUAAGCCCAGCACAGUGGUCAGCAGGCAGGACGAAUCACACUGAAUGCAAACCACAGGCUUUCGCAGAGCGGUGAAAGAAAUCAUAGAAUCCCCCGCCUUCAGGAGAGGUGCGUUUUCGAAAGGAAAUGAUGGCUUCAGACAGCAUUUUUGAGUCAUUUCCUUCAUAUCCACAAUGCUUCAUGAGAGCCCUGAUAACACUGACUGGUGCCAAGGGGGCACAGCACGGAGAUGAACACCGUGCCCAAGGGUGUUCACAAUGGUAUGUUUUAUUAUGAGGGGAGAACCAAACCUUUGCUUGGAUUCCUCAGUGAACAUGUGCUGGCUGCACAUAGAGGAGAAGCUGACCACAGUGGCUCAUGCACACAAGGCUGGUCUGUGUGUGGAGCCAGCAGCCCAGACUGUUGGUGCACAAGGGGCAUAAGACAUCCCUGUUUUGUGUCCCACCAGGCUGUGCCAGGGCCAAAAUGGCUGAGCACCUGAGGCCCUGUGUAGGCAGAAAGGAGUUGGCAGGCCUCUGCGUCAUAUGGACUGGUCUUGUUAUUCAGAAAGGGAAGCCUAUUUAUAUUUUUAUACUUUUUUGGUAUAUAUUUCAAUUUAUUUGUUGAGAAUUUCAUACACCUCUACCACGAAAUAUACUCAAAUCCAUUCUUCCCCUUCCGGUUCUACCCAUAUCUGCUCUGGAACAUACCUCCUCCCAACUUCCUGCCCUCUUCUUCUGUUUAUUGACUGUUUGACUGAUCGAUUGGUUUAAUGUGCAUGUUUAAGUGUGGUGUGUGUGUGUGUGUGUGUAUACAGUCCUAGAGUUACAGGCAGUUAUACCUACUGUGUGGGUGCUGGAAACUGAGACCAAAUCCUGGACAAGGGCACUGAGAAUUCAUAACCACGGUUCCAUCCUGGAGAGCCCUUAUUUUCAUUUCUAACCACCCACUGAGUCCACUUUGCGUUGACCAUAUGGGUAGGGGAGCUUGAGCAACUAAAAAUGACCCCACCCACAAAGAACAGUGCUCCCUCACUGCCCAUCAACCCCAAAUAGUUGCUCAGCUAGGAUUAAAGAUCCUUAGCCCUCCCAGUCUGUGCUGGAAGUUUAAUGAGCUGGAUCUUAUGUGGAUCAUUUGCAGGCAAGUAAGGAGCCAUGCCUGCGGUGGCCACACCACGUCCAGACAACAACCCUCAUUUCAUGGCGCUCUCUCCAUUCUUUGGCUCGUAGGUUCUUUCUGCUUCCUCCCCUGUCUUCUCCAAGUCUUGGUGGGGCCAUGGUGAUGGGGAAGGAAGAUGAUUUUUAAAAAAUGUCCCUUCUAGGGAUGAACAUUCACCUCUCACUUAUUCUCAGCGCUUUCUGAAGUUAGGAGUCUGCCUUAACUGCUCCCUGUUACAAAAGAAGCUGCCUGCCCAUCUUCCAGAGCUGAGGAGAAAUGUAACUAUUUAACAGGCAGUUUGGCAACAUAAUAAACAUAUAGCAAAGGAAGAGCAACAUGGGAUGCAGAAGGCAGGAACUUGAGAAUGGUACAGCAUCCAGUGGGUGAGCUCCCGGGCAGACCCUACCUUCCUGCCCUGUAUCUUUGUUUUCUAAGCCGACUAUGCUCUGCGAAUGUGAUUGGCUGUCUGUAUCCCAGGGUUCCCCAUCUGUGGAUUCAACUAGCAACAGAAGGGGAAAAUACUGAGGGAAAAAAUUGCAUCCGAGUUGAAUAUCACACUUGAUUUUUUUUUUCUUAUCUGUUUUCCCUAAGCAGCAUGGUACAGCCUCGUUUGCAUGGCCUUUACAUAGUGUUAGAUAUGAAAGUCAUCGAGAGGUGAAGUCGCAUGUCCAGAAGGAUCUACAUAGGUUCUAUGCAAAUAUUAUGCCAUUGUAAGAAGGACUUUGUCCUCCAUAGGGGCGGGGACACAAGGACUCCUCCCUCUCUGGAACAUCCAGGGGUAGCUGUGUUCUCACAGAAUCUCCAACCUCCUCUGUGGUUCUCCUCAGAAGUGGCAGAUGGAGGCUGGAGUGGCUGGUUACCAUUGAUUCAGUAAGGCAGGGCAGUCCUUGGGAGGGGAGGGAGCUGAUUCAAGGGGGAACAAGGUAUGACAAUUUACAAGGUCAAAGUUCAAAAUCAUACUUAACCCCCAAUUUGCUAGCGAUCCGAUGAAAAGACUCCCAUUAGAACCACUACUGUUGGCCAGGGGCUAACAUGUGUCUUCAAGAGAUCUAUUUUGCUUCUUAUAAAAUUAUUUUCCAUAGAAUCAUUACAGAAUUAUUUCCAUCUCUUAUCUCCCCCUCCCUCCUCCCUUCCUUUUCCCUUUGAGUUUUCUUCACAUUCCCCUGUUCCCCUGUGGCACUGGUGACAGAACCCAGGGCCUUGUACACACUCUGGCCCUGAUUCAUACCCCAGCCCUCUCUCUAUCCCUUAGUCAAGUGAAACUUAGUUUCAACUGUCUUACCAUCAAUUUACUUAAAGAUGUUUUUAUUUUUCAUAGAAAUAAAAACUAACAGAU